rnacentral:rRNA from 1 species
CAUGAUUCAGCGGCGGACGGGUGAGUAAUGCCUAGGAAUCUGCCUGGUAGUGGGGGACAACGUUUCGAAAGGAACGCUAAUACCGCAUACGUCCUACGGGAGAAAGUGGGGGAUCUUCGGACCUCACGCUAUCAGAUGAGCCUAGGUCGGAUUAGCUAGUUGGUGAGGUAAAGGCUCACCAAGGCGACGAUCCGUAACUGGUCUGAGAGGAUGAUCAGUCACACUGGAACUGAGACACGGUCCAGACUCC